GUGCGURWCGCGUAUGCAACCUACCUUUCACAGGGGGAURGCCCGAAGAAAUUUGGAUUAAUACCCCAUAAUAUUGUGAGAUGGCAUCAUUUWGCAAUUAAAACUAYGGUGGUGAAAGAUGGGCAUGCGUCCUAUUAGCUAGUUGGAGUGGUAACRGCACCCCAAGGCUACGAUAGGUAKGGGUCCUGAGAGGGAGAUCCCCCACACUGGUACUGAGACAGGGACCAGACUCCUACGGGAGGCAGCAGUGAGGAAUAUUGGUCAAUGGUCSGAAGACUGAACCAGCCAUGCCGCGUGCAGGAAGAAUGCCUUAUGGGUUGUAAACUGCU
rnacentral:rRNA from 1 species